rnacentral:rRNA from 1 species
AUUGAACGCUGGCGGAAUGCUUUACACAUGCAAGUCGAACGGCAGCACGGGGGCAACCCUGGUGGCGAGUGGCGAACGGGUGAGUAAUACAUCGGAACGUGCCCAGUCGUGGGGGAUAACGUAGCGAAAGUUACGCUAAUACCGCAUACGAUCUACGGAUGAAAGCGGGGGACCGUAAGGCCUCGCGCGAUUGGAGCGGCCGAUGUCAGAUUAGGUAGUUGGUGAGGUAAAGGCUCACCAAGCCGACGAUCUGUAGCUGGUCUGAGAGGACGACCAGCCACACUGGGACUGAGCCACGGCCCAGACUCCUACGGGAGGCAGCAGGGGGGAAUUUUGGACAAUGGGCGCAAGCCUGAUCCAGCCAUUCCGCGUGCAGGACGAAGGCCUUCGGGUUGUAAACUGCUUUUGUACGGAACGAAAAGGCUCUGGUUAAUACCUGGGGCUCAUGACGGUACCGUAAGAACAAGCACCGGCUAACUACGUGCCAGCCGCCGCGGUAA